AAUACUAAUUUUCCACCAUAAUUUACAAAUAAAUGAUUUAAAAAUCCUACAAUGUGAUUUCCUGGAAUUUUUAUUCUCAUUUGUCUCUAAUAGUUGAUGUGUACCUAUGUUCAAAAUUAUAGACCUCUCUCACCUUUCUAAGUGAUGGCUGACUUUUU